CUAAGAGGAGUGAUUUAAAUAGCGCCCGCGAAAAAUCUGCAUUGUGAUUGGCUUAUACGGCGCCGUUUUUACACAGACGCAAUUUGAGGAUCUUGACAAUUCAGUUGACAUCUUUAUUCGCUGUGUCAUUUACAAUUGUGUUAUUCGUAUUUUAUUUAAUUUUGCCUUUUUCGUGUGUUUUAACUCUUGUUCAAAUUUCAAUUAAACAAUCAGUUCUUAUUAGAACUAAACCGGGUACCUGUACUUGAUUUUGUUGGUGCAAAUACUUCGAAAUAUGGAUUCCACGCCAAGUACUUAGUAAAGCGAACAUUUCACCUGUAAAAAAGCGUACGCGUCUUAAUUUGGGGCAUUUAUCGAUCUCAGAAAAGCAGUGCAUACUCGACUUAUAUAAACAGAUGUUAAAUGAUGACCCUGGCACAAAGAUAGUUACCAUUGUUGCAAAAAUUGAUGAAGGCGCAGGAAUUGCAAAAUCCACGGUUUACCGAAUAAUAAAGGAGUAUAAGAAAACGAGAGCUGUAACCCACCUUUGGUAUCGCAAUUUGACGAUAGCAUAAAAUCAUCAGUUCGUCAAAUUAUUCACAACUUUUUCUAUCUCAAUGAACUUCCCACGUUGGACAAAAUCAAUAGUCGUGAAGAUUUAUCACAAAGUGUCCUUCAUCUACUUGAACGUGACGACAUAAUAAGAUGGAGACGAAAGCAUUUAAAAUCUAUUAAACAAUAUAGGAACCAAAGACGAGUCAUAUAUUACUUAGAUGAAACAUGGUUAAAUGAAGGCCAUACAAAACAGUGUGGACUGAUGAUAACGUUCGUACUCGACGACAAGCGUUUGAGGAAGGAUUGUCUACCGGUUUAAAGAAUCCUUCUGGAAAAGGGAAACGUCUCAUUAUUUUACAUGUUGGCUCUGAAAACAGUUUCGUAAACGAGGGUCUACUACUUUUUGAAGGAAGAAAAACUUCCAUUAUCACGAAGAAAUGAAUGCGGAAGUGUUUGAAGAAUGGUUUGCAUCUUUCUUAGUGAAAAUUCCUGAAAAUGCUGUAAUUUUACAAUAUAUUGUAGCUAGCA